GCCGGCAGCCAUAUCGCCCUGUAGCCCAAGACUGGUUGCCCACUGAAGCUAAGCAGGGCUGAGCCUGGUCAGUACCUGGAUGGGAGACCUCCUGGGAAAACUAGGUUGCUGCUGGAA
rnacentral:rRNA from 1 species